rnacentral:lncRNA from 1 species
UUCUUGCUCCUUGCUCUGCUAGCAUCUUCUCCUUGCACUUCCCUGAGUUGAUGAGCCAAGUUCAACCUAUCAGCUUUGGCUUUGUACAGCUCCAUAUGGGUGUCUUGCUCCUUCCCUCUCAAACGGCGAUUCUCCAUUAGGGCUUGCUUGUAGUGCUCCGCAGGCACACUCUCAGCAAGGAUCAAAGGUGGUUGCUCCUGCAACGGCUCCAUCCUAUCGUAGGGUAACAACAAAGUUUCUACUCUCUUCUUGACCCAAUCAU